CCUACGGGUGGCAGCAGUGGGGAAUAUUGCACAAUGGGCGAAACCCUGAUGCAGCGACGCCGCGUGAGUGAAGAAGUACUUCGUUAUGUAAAGCUCUAUCAGCAGGGAAGAAAAUGACGGUACCUGAGUAAGAAGCUCUGGCUAACUCCGUGCCAGCAGCCGCGGUAUUACGUAGGGGGCACGCGUUAUCCGGAUUUACUGGGUGUAAAGGGAGCGUAGACGGCAGUGCAAGUCUGGGGUGAAAGGCGGGGGCUCAACCCCCGGACUGCUCUGGAAACUGUACGGCUGGAGUGCAGGAGAGGGAAGUGGAAUUCCUAGUGUAGCGGUGAAAUGCGUAGAUAUAAGGAGGAACACCAGUGGCGAAGGCGGCUUACUGGACUGUAACUGACGUUGAGGCGCGAAAGCGUGGGGAGCAAACAGGAUUAGAUACCCUUGUAGUC
rnacentral:rRNA from 1 species